rnacentral:tmRNA from 1 species
GGGGACGUUACGGAUUCGACAGGGAUAGGACGAGCUUUGGUGGCGAGCCGAGCGGCUACUCGUAAAAAGCCAUGCCAAUAAUAACUGGCAAAGAAAACAAUUACUCUCUAGCAGCUGCAUAAGCUAGUCUAGAGGAUCCUUCCUGCCAUCGCCCGUGUGGUAGAUAGAAGGGUCUCAAACUGAAGCGGGCUACGCGUCACUCCACCACCUGAGGAGGGGCGAAGAGACUAAUCAGGUUAGCUACAAGGAAGCCAGUCGAUAGGCCGAAUUGUUAGUGAAUGACAAUAUAUCGACUACGCUCGUAGAAGCCAUUGCGGCGUUAUCUCUGGACGUGGGUUCGACUCCCACCGUCUCCACCA